UACGGGGGGUGCAAGCGUUGCUCGGAAUCACUGGGCGUAAAGCGUCCGCAGGCGGACCUUUAAGUCGGUCGUGAAAGCCCAGGGCUCAACCCUGGAACUGCGAUCGAAACUGGGGGUCUUGAGUUCGGGAGAGGGAGGUGGAAUUCCAGGUGUAGAGGUGAAAUUCGUAGAUAUCUGGAGGAACACCGGUGGCGAAAGCGGCCUCCUGGCCCGAUACUGACGCUCAUGGACGAAAGCGUGGGGAGCAAACAGG
rnacentral:rRNA from 1 species